rnacentral:lncRNA from 1 species
CCAAAGCCAAAGCUAAGAUUGAUUGUGUGAUAGGGAGAGGUAUUUGAUAAACCUUUAUCACGAAAAGUCUUGCCGGUCUAGCCUCCCCAUGUGAUGAUCAUCCAAUGUAAAGUAUAGUUGUUGUCAACAAUUAAGAAGUGAAAGCAUGCAAACAUGCAAUCAAUCGACAUAAAAUUCGAUGUGUUUCAAUCUAAGCACGUAAGAUGUAACCCGGUUUAAAUUGUAGUAAUAAAUAAAUAAACAUGUGUACACUCAAUAAUUGAAUUUGGAACUAACCUUGCACAUUGCCUUAAUCAAUUGUGAGGAAAAUCAUAAUUUACAAGUUACAACCAUGACUUCCAAUUCACAAUGCUGAGAAAGCAUAUUUUCCUCAAAUGCAGUUCUCCGAUACAAAUUAUAAAAGCUCCAAAUUGACUUAGUUGCGGAAGCUACAGUUUUUGCUAGUU